CAAUUACUUGCAACGUUGUGCUUUGUUUGUUUUGGAUCAAAACGUUAAAGGAUUACUCCAAGCAUCCCUGAAGUGGUCAUUGGGCUUGGAGUAGCCCUUUAACUUUAUGACCUAUUGUACAGUGCUCUUCUCUUGCCCCCUACCCACUCACACUGAGAAAUCACCUCCCUCUUCCCAAUCCCCUCCAUUAUAUUUUUAAGAUCAUCGCCCUCCCUCUGCCUUCUUUCCUUUCCUCUGUUUCACUCCACCUCCUCUCGCCAGUUCAGAGCCUGCAUGCACAAAAACGUCCAAUCAAAGGCAUCUCUAUAGUCAAUGUACAUCUUAUUUAAUGAAAUUUAAUUUCUAAACAUGUUGGCGUCUAUAAUUCUCAUAUAUGCUUUUUAUUCUUGUCCUGGAUUCUAG